rnacentral:lncRNA from 1 species
GAAAAAGCUACCAACACAUGAAAGCAGGGUGAAGGGUAGGCAGGAUGAAAGUAACUAAGUAACCUGACUCAGAACUCUCAAAAGCUUCUAGCAGCUUGAUGACAAUUACAGGAUUUAUUUCAGCCAGGAUAAUGUCUGUGGUACAUUAUUUGAAGACAAUAUUACUUCAUGUUGUUACAAACUGUAUGUAUAGUGUGUAUGUGUUGUGGGUGUCCACACAUGUGUACUGCCUGUCCCAUGAGGUAUCGUCGAUGUCAUGUCAAAUCCAGAACUCAUAAAGCAACGCCAGUGGUAUUUUAUUUGUAGACAAUCAACUCAAAUCUA